ACGAACGCUGGCGGCGUGCCUAACACAUGCAAGUCGAACGGAGAUUAGUGAGAAGUUUACUUUUCAUUAAUUUUAGUGGCGGACGGAUGAGUAACGCGUGGGUAACCUACCUAUAAGAGGGGGACAACAGAGGGAAACUUCUGCUAAUACCGCAUAAAACUAUUGAGACACAUGUUUCGAUAGUCAAAGAUUUAUCGCUUAUAGAUGGACCCGCGUCUGAUUAGCUAAUUGGUAGGGUAACGGCCUACCAAGGCGACGAUCAAUAGCCGGCCUGAGAGGGUGAUCGGCCACACUGGGACUGAGACACGGCCCAAACUCCUACGGGAAGCAGCAGUGGGGAAUCUUCCGCAAUGGGCGCAAGCCUGACGGAGCAACGCCGCGUGAGUGAUGAAGGUUUUCGGAUCGUAAAGCUCUGUCUUCAGGGAAGAAAAAAAUGACGGUACCUGAGGAGGAAGCCCCGGCUAACUACGU
rnacentral:rRNA from 1 species